rnacentral:rRNA from 1 species
UAGGGAAUAUUGGGCAAUGGAAGCAAUUCUGACCCAGCCAUGCCGCGUGAAGGAAUACAGCCCUAUGGGUUUUAAACUUCUUUUAUUAGAGAGUAACCGGAGGUACGUGUACCUCCCUGCAAGUAUAUGAUGAAUAAGGAUCGGCUAACUCCGUGCCAGCAGCCGCGGUAAUACGGAGGAUCCAAGCGUUAUCCGGAUUUAUUGGGUUUAAAGGGUGCGCAGGCGGAUCAAGAAGUCAGGGGUGAAAAAUGUCAGCUUAACUGGAAUUGUGCCUUGGAUACUGUUGGACUAGAGUAU